rnacentral:rRNA from 1 species
UACAGAGGGUGCGAGCGUUGUCCGGAAUCACUGGGCGUAAAGGGCGCGUAGGUGGCGCCCCAAGUCCGUGGUGAAAGCCCGUGGCUCAACUACGGGUCGGCCACCGAUACUGCUAUGGCUCGAGUUUGGUAGAGGCAGAUGGAAUUCCGGGUGUAGCGGUGGAAUGCGUAGAGAGUCCGGAAGAACGACCGGUGGCGAAGGCGGUCUGCUGGGCCAAGACUGACGGCUGAGGCGCGACAGCGUGGGGAGCAAACAGG